rnacentral:SRP_RNA from 1 species
GCCGGGCGCAGUGGCCUGUGCCUGUAGUUCCAGCUACUAGGGAGGCUGAGGCUGGAGGAUCUCUUGAGCCCAGGAGUUCUGGGCUGCAGUGUGCUAUGCAGAUUGGGUGUCCUCGGCAUCAAUAUGGUGAUCUCCCGGGAGCAGAGGACCACCAGGUUGCCUAAGGAGGGGUGAACCAGCCCAGGUCAGAAACGGAGCAGGUCAAAACUCCUGGGCUGAUCAGCAGUGGGAUUGCACCUGUGAAUAGCCACUGCACUCCAGCCUGGGCAACAUAGCAAGACCACAUCUCU